UCUGUUUUAAGGUUGAUAUUAGUCUCUGCACCGUUUGGAAAGUGAUUGUUGCUAGUGCACUGUAUCGAAAAUCUUCAUGUCUUCAUAUAAUGAAUGUGUGGUUGUUUGUGUUGGAUGUGAUGCAAUGGGAUAAAAAUGCAUACCACCUGAACUGAGAUGUGUCUAAGACAAUCCAGUGGAUAGCAUUACCCUGCAGAAUCCAGGAUUCAUAGUUCAGCAGAUUGAACCGUUCCGCAUAUUUAGUUUCUGAGUUUUUUAAAGUUUUUGAAUUUGUACAACAUAAAAC
rnacentral:lncRNA from 1 species